AUUAUAUGCAUGAUUUUGUAAAGCGAUAUGUACUUGUACACUUACAAUUUCUUGAGCAUGGUGUCGGCCUGUAGCCUGGCAACCCUCAAUUCGGGGGAUAAUUAAACCAGCUGAACAGUCCAGUUCCGUUCAGUGGGGAUGAAGUUAAUUUGGCUUUCAAUUCAUUGAAGAUAUUUUUGUUUGCCAUUGCACAUGUACUAAUUGCUUUCGGCCACCUAAGUUUGUUUUUCAGGACCCAGGUUGGUGAAUGUAGAAUGGUGGACACACAUGGAAGAGGAUGCAGACAUGGCAAGGCAGAAUGGUGGACACAGAUGGAAGAGGAUGCAGGCAAGGCAAGGCAGUUCAGUUCCAUUUAGUUCAGUGGGGAAUUAAGUUUGUUUUUUCAGGAACCAGGUUGGUGGAUGCAGAAUGGAGGACACAGAUGGAAGAGGAUGCAGGUAAGGCAGUAUGGUGGUGAUCUGUUUAAACGAUUUGGAAUAAAAGGAGAGUACAGUUUUUUUGAUUAAUUAUUUUGAGGGUAGUGGCAGGCUGCAGACAGAGUUGCUCUCAAUACUUGGGGAUAAGACUAGCUGAACAGUCCAGUUCAGUUCCAUUUAGUUCAGUAGGGAUUAAGUUAAUUUGGCUUUUUUUGUUUGUCAUUGCACAUGUACUAAUUGCUUUCGGUCACCUCAGUGCAUUUUUCAGGAACCAGGUUGGUGGAUGCAGAAUGGUGGACACAGAUGGAAGAGGAUGCAGGCAAGACAGAAUGGUGGACAUAGAUGGAAGAGGAUUCAGGAACCAGGUUGGCGGAUGCAGAAUGGUGGACACAGAUGGAAGAGGAUGCAGGCAAGACAUAAUGGUGGACACAGAUGGAAGAGGAUGCAGGCAAGGCAGAAUGGUGGACACAGAUGGAAGAGGAUGCAAGCAAGGCAGUAUGGUAUGGACACUCAUUUCAAGGGAUAUCAACUGAACAAUCCAUUUCAAUUAUAUUUAGUUCUAGUU